rnacentral:lncRNA from 1 species
UGCAUUUCGUUUAUGCUUUAAUUUGUCCUUUAAUCGUUCUUCAAAAUGAUCUGAGUUUUUGCAGGUGAACGGGUUUCUGCUGGUGGGUUCUGAGCUCUUGGCUUGUCCUUGGGAGACUUCAUUUCAUGCUGUCCUCUUCUGCAGGUUACAGCUUGGAAAAGAGCAAAAUAUGGAUCACUGCAGAAGACAGAGUUGGGGGAUGAAGAGUUAUUAACACAGCCCACCUCCUCCUUGAAAAUUGCAUGUGAAAUUGGCAGGAGUGAUGUAGUGACAAAUUCCAGCGUCUCAGCAGAAUCAUGGAAUAUCAGCUUUAUGAGUAGGACUGCUCUGAAAUGUUUAUACAAAAUGAUUUUUAGUGGAAGAAUUAGCUUCAGUUACAAAUAAUCUUUGGAAACUUCUUGUUUUUAUAAGAAAAACUAAUUUUCUGAAAGCUCCCUGUUUUUUAAUACCAGACCAAAUUUUUCUAGAUAAACAAGAAAACCUUUUAAAAUCAAAACUGAAAAAUGUACAUAUUAAAUUGCUCUUGCUUUCAGAUUAACUUGUUUUCUGCUUCUAAUGCUUGGUCAGGAAAUAAAUAUAUUGACAAAAGAUAAAGUGAAUUGAAC